GAUGAACGCUAGCUACAGGCUUAACACAUGCAAGUCGAGGGGUAACGAGAGGAAAGCUUGCUUUCCUUGUCGACGACCGGCGCACGGGUGAGUAACGCGUAUCCAACCUGCCCCCAACUAGGGAAUAACCUUGCGAAAGUAAGACUAAUACCCUAUAAUUUCCUCAGGUGUUAUCUGACGAGGAAUAAAGAUUUAUCGGUUGUGGAUGGGGAUGCGUCUGAUUAGCUUGUUGGCGGCGUAACGGCCCACCAAGGCAACGAUCAGUAGGGGUUCUGAGAGGAAGGUCCCCCACAUUGGAACUGAGACACGGUCCAAACUCCUACGGGAGGCAGCAGUGAGGAAUAUUGGACAAUGGGCGGAAGCCUGAACCAGCCAAGUAGCGUGCAGGAUGACGGCCCUAUGGGUUGUAAACUGCUUUUAUACAGGAAUAAAGUUAGCCACGUGUGGUUAUUUGUAGGUACUGUAUGAAUAAGGACCGGCUAAUUCCGUGCCAGCAGCCGCCGCAG
rnacentral:rRNA from 1 species